rnacentral:rRNA from 1 species
UACGGAGGGUGCAAGCGUUAUCCGGAUUCACUGGGUUUAAAGGGUGCGUAGGUGGGCAGGUAAGUCAGUGGUGAAAUCUCUGGGCUUAACCCGGAAACUGCCGUUGAUACUAUCUGUCUUGAAUAUAGUGGAGGUGAGCGGAAUAUGUCAUGUAGCGGUGAAAUGCUUAGAUAUGACACAGAACAUCGAUUGCGAAGGCAGCUCGCUACACUAUGAUUGACACUGAGGCACGAAAGCGUGGGGAUCAAACAGG